rnacentral:pre_miRNA from 1 species
UUCUUUUGCUGAGACCGGUUUUCGAUUUGGUUUUACUUAUUUUAAAAUACAGUGAGAUCAUUUUGAAAGCUGAUUUCGAGCAAAAUUGCA